UGGAUCCAGACUUUGAUCCUGGCUCAGGAUUAACGCUGGCGGCAUGCCUAAGUCAUGCAAGUCGAACGGAGUGCCCCCACUGAAACUUGAAUGAAGUCUGAGAGCUUGCUCAAAGAUGGAAUGACGGUGGAUGUGGAUUCUGCACUCAGUGGCGAACGGGUGAGUAACACGUGGGUUACCUGCCUCUAAGUUGGGGACAACAGUUGGAAACGACUGCUAAUACCGAAUGUGAUAGUAAUAUUAAAGGAGCCUUUAAAGCUUCGCUUAGAGAUGGGCCUGCGGCGUAUUAGCUAGUUGGUGGGGUAAUGGCCUACCAAGGCAACGAUGCGUAGCCGGACUGAGGGGUUGAUCGGCCACAUUGGGACUGAGACACGGCCCAGACUCCUACGGGAGACAGCAGUUAGGAAUAUUCGGCAAUGGGGGAAACCCUGACCGAGCAAUGCCGCGUGUGAGAUGAAGGUCCUCUGGAUUGUAAAUCACUUUUAUUUGGGAAGAAUUGUAAGUAGAGGAAAUGAUACUUACUUGACGGUACCUUUUGAAUAAGCCCCGGCUAACUACGUGCCAGCAGCCGCGGUAAUACGUAGGGGGCGAGCGUUAUCCGGAUUUAUUGGGCGUAAAGCGUGCGUAGGCGGUUUAUUAAGUCCAGAAUUAAAGUCCGAGGCUUAACCUCGGUUCGUUCUGGAUACUGGUAGACUAGAGUAUGGUAGAGGCAAACGGAAUUCCUAGUGUAGCGGUGAAAUGCGUAGAUAUUAGGAGGAACACCAGUGGCGAAGGCGGUUUGCUGGGCCAUCACUGACGCUGAGGUACGAAAGCGUGGGUAGCAAAUAGGAUUAGAUACCCUAGUAGUCCACGCUGUAAACGAUGA
rnacentral:rRNA from 1 species